rnacentral:rRNA from 2 species
GGAGAGUUUGAUCAUGGCUCAGAACGAACGCUGGCGGCAGGCUUAACACAUGCAAGUCGAGCGACCCUUUCGGGGGGAGCGGCGGACGGGUGAGUAACGCGUGGGAACGUACCCUUUUCUACGGAAUAGCAUUUGGAAACGAAUGGUAAUACCGUAUACACCCUUCGGGGGAAAGAUUUAUCGGAAAAGGAUCGGCCCGCGUUAGAUUAGGUAGUUGGUGGGGUAACGGCCUACCAAGCCACCGAUCUAUAGCUGGUUUGAGAGGAUGAUCAGCCACACUGGGACUGAGACACGGCCCAGACUCCUACGGGAGGCAGCAGUGGGGAAUCUUGGACAAUGGGGGAAACCCUGAUCCAGCCAUGCCGCGUGAGUGAAGAAGGCCCUAGGGUCGUAAAACUCUUUCAACUGUGAAGAUAAUGACGGUAGCAGUAGAAGAAGUCCCGGCUAACUCCGUGCCAGCAGCCGCGGUAAUACGGAGGGGACUAGCGUUGUUCGGAAUUACUGGGCGUAAAGCGUACGUAGGCGGAUUAGUAAGUUAGAGGUGAAAUCCCGGGGCUUAACCCCGGAACUGCCUUUAAAACUGCUAGUCUUGAGGUCGAGAGAGGCGAGUGGAAUUCCAAGUGUAGAGGUGAAAUUCGUAGAUAUUUGGAGGAACACCAGCGGCGAAGGCGGCUCGCUGGCUCGAUACUGACGCUGAGGUACGAAAGUGUGGGGAGCAAACAGGAUUAGAUACCCUGGAAUCACUAGUGCGGCCGCCUGCAGGUCGACCAUAUGGGAGAGCUCCCAACGCGUUGGAUGCAUAGCUUGAGUAUUCUAUAGUGUCACCUAAAUAGCU